rnacentral:rRNA from 1 species
CCGGAGCUAAUACCGAUAAUAUAUUGAACCGCAUGGUUCAAUAGUGAAAGACGGUUUUGCUGUCACUUAUAGANGGAUCCGCGCCGCAUUAGCUAGUUGGUAAGGUAACGGCUUACCAAGGCAACGAUGCGUAGCCGACCUGAGAGGGUGAUCGGCCACACUGGAACUGAGACACGGUCCAGACUCCUACGGGAGGCAGCAGGC